ACCGGCGGCUCGAGUGGUGGCCACUAUUACUGGGCUUAAAGCGUUCGUAGCUGGCUUGUUAAGUCUCUGGGGAAAUCUUCCGGCUCAACCGGAAGGCGUCUCAGGGAUACUGGCAGGCUAGGGACCGGAAGAGGUAGGAGGUACUCCAGGGGUAGGAGCGAAAUCCUGGGAUCCGAAGGGGAGGACGGUAGGCGGAGGCGUGACACCGGGACGGCUCCCAUAGUGAGGAGCGAAAGUUAUGAGAAUAAAGCG
rnacentral:rRNA from 1 species